UACGAAGGGGGCUAGCGUUGCUCGGAAUUACUGGGCGUAAAGCGCACGUAGGCGGCUUUGUAAGUUAGAGGUGAAAGCCCAGGGCUUAACCCUGGAACUGCCUUUAAGACUGCAUCGCUAGAAUCGUGGAGAGGUGAGUGGAAUUCCGAGUGUAGAGGUGAAAUUCGUAGAUAUUCGGAAGAACACCAGUGGCGAAGGCGACUCACUGGACACGUAUUGACGCUGAGGUGCGAAAGCGUGGGGAGCAAACAGG
rnacentral:rRNA from 1 species